rnacentral:rRNA from 1 species
UACGUAGGGAGCAAGCGUUGUCCGGAAUCAUUGGGCGUAAAGCGCGCGUAGGUGGCCACAUAAGUCCGUUGUGAAAGUCAAAGGCUCAACCUUUGAAAGCCGAUGGAUACUGUGUGGCUAGAGUACGGAAGAGGCGAGUGGAAUUCCUGGUGUAGCGGUGAAAUGCGCAGAUAUCAGGAGGAACACCGGUGGCGAAGGCGGUUCUCUGGGCAUUACCCGACGCUGAGGAACGAAAGCGUGGGGAGCGAACAGG